rnacentral:rRNA from 1 species
GACGAACGCUGGCGGCGUGCUUAACACAUGCAAGUCGAACGGAAAGGCCCCUUUGGGGGUCCUCGAGUGGCGAACGGGUGAGUAACACGUGAGUAACCUGCCCUUGACUUCGGGAUAACUUCAGGGAACUGGGGCUAAUACCGGAUAGGAAUCCUUGCUGCAUGGUGGGGGUUGGAAAGCUUCGGCGGUUUUGGAUGGACUCGCGGCUUAUCAGCUUGUUGGUGGGGUAGUGGCUUACCAAGGCUUUGACGGGUAGCCGGCCUGAGAGGGCGACCGGCCACAUUGGGACUGAGAUACGGCCCAGACUCCUACGGGAGGCAGCAGUGGGGAAUAUUGCACAAUGGGCGGAAGCCUGAUGCAGCAACGCCGCGGGCGGGAUGACGGCCUUCGGGUUGUAAACCGCUUUCAGCAGGGGCGAAGCUUGUGGUGACGGUACCUGCAGAAGAAGCACCGGCUAACUACGUG